rnacentral:rRNA from 1 species
GGGUUGUGAGGUUAAGCGACUAAGCGUACACGGUGGAUGCCCUGGCAGUCAGAGGCGAUGAAGGACGUGCUAAUCUGCGAUAAGCGUCGGUAAGGUGAUAUGAACCGUUAUAACCGGCGAUUUCCGAAUGGGGAAACCCAGUGUGUUUCGACACACUAUCAUUACGUGAAUACAUAGCGUAAUGAAGCGAACCAGGGGAACUGAAACAUCUAAGUACCCCGAGGAAAAGAAAUCAACCGAGAUUCCCCCAGUAGCGGCGAGCGAACGGGGAGCAGCCCAGAGUCUGAAUCAGCUUGUGUGUUAGUGGAACGGUCUGGAAAGUCCGACGGUACAGGGUGAUAGUCCCGUACACCAAAAUGCACAGGUUGUGAACUCGAAGAGUAGGGCGGGACACGUGGUAUCCUGUCUGAAUAUGGGGGGACCAUCCUCCAAGGCUAAAUACUCCUGACUGACCGAUAGUGAACCAGUACCGUGAGGGAAAGGCGAAAAGAACCCCGGCGAGGGGAGUGAAAAAGAACCUGAAACCGUGUACGUACAAGCAGUGGGAGCCUCUUUAUGGGGUGACUGCGUACCUUUUGUAUAAUGGGUCAGCGACUUAUAUUCUGUAGCAAGGUUAACCGUAUAGGGGAGCCGAAGGGAAACCGAGUCUUAACUGGGCGUUAAGUUGCAGGGUAUAGACCCGAAACCCGGUGAUCUAGCCAUGGGCAGGUUGAAGGUUGGGUAACACUAACUGGAGGACCGAACCGACUAAUGUUGAAAAAUUAGCGGAUGACUUGUGGCUGGGGGUGAAAGGCCAAUCAAACCGGGAGAUAGCUGGUUCUCCCCGAAAGCUAUUUAGGUAGCGCCUCGUGAAUUCAUCUUCGGGGGUAGAGCACUGUUUCGGCUAGGGGGUCAUCCCGACUUACCAACCCGAUGCAAACUGCGAAUACCGAAGAAUGUUAUCACGGGAGACACACGGCGGGUGCUAACGUCCGUCGUGAAGAGGGAAACAACCCAGACCGCCAGCUAAGGUCCCAAAGUCAUGGUUAAGUGGGAAACGAUGUGGGAAGGCACAGACAGCCAGGAUGUUGGCUUAGAAGCAGCCAUCAUUUAAAGAAAGCGUAAUAGCUCACUGGUCGAGUCGGCCUGCGCGGAAGAUGUAACGGGGCUAAACCAUGCACCGAAGCUGCGGCAGCGACACUAUGUGUUGUUGGGUAGGGGAGCGUUCUGUAAGCCGUUGAAGGUGUGCUGUGAGGUAUGCUGGAGGUAUCAGAAGUGCGAAUGCUGACAUAAGUAACGAUAAUGCGGGUGAAAAACCCGCACGCCGGAAGACCAAGGGUUCCUGUCCAACGUUAAUCGGGGCAGGGUGAGUCGACCCCUAAGGCGAGGCCGAAAGGCGUAGUCGAUGGGAAACAGGUUAAUAUUCCUGUACUUGGUGUUACUGCGAAGGGGGGACGGAGAAGGCUAUGUUAGCCGGGCGACGGUUGUCCCGGUUUAAGCAUGUAGGCGGAGGUUCCAGGUAAAUCCGGUACCUUUUUAACGCUGAGGUGUGAUGACGAGGCACUACGGUGCUGAAGUAACAAAUGCCCUGCUUCCAGGAAAAGCCUCUAAGCAUCAGGUAACACGAAAUCGUACCCCAAACCGACACAGGUGGUCAGGUAGAGAAUACCAAGGCGCUUGAGAGAACUCGGGUGAAGGAACUAGGCAAAAUGGUGCCGUAACUUCGGGAGAAGGCACGCUGAUAUGUAGGUGAAGUGAUUUACUCAUGGAGCUGAAAUCAGUCGAAGAUACCAGCUGGCUGCAACUGUUUAUUAAAAACACAGCACUGUGCAAACACGAAAGUGGACGUAUACGGUGUGACGCCUGCCCGGUGCCGGAAGGUUAAUUGAUGGGGUUAUCCGUAAGGAGAAGCUCUUGAUCGAAGCCCCGGUAAACGGCGGCCGUAACUAUAACGGUCCUAAGGUAGCGAAAUUCCUUGUCGGGUAAGUUCCGACCUGCACGAAUGGCGUAAUGAUGGCCAGGCUGUCUCCACCCGAGACUCAGUGAAAUUGAACUCGCUGUGAAGAUGCAGUGUACCCGCGGCAAGACGGAAAGACCCCGUGAACCUUUACUAUAGCUUGACACUGAACACUGGUCCUUGAUGUGUAGGAUAGGUGGGAGGCUUUGAAGUGUGGACGCCAGUCUGCAUGGAGCCAUCCUUGAAAUACCACCCUUUAAUGGCU